UGGCUGUGAGGAUGACCCUUCAAUUGAAUGCCAGUGAUCACUUUAUACGCUAUUCUGAGCCAACA
ensembl:snoRNA